CAGGGAACUGAAACAUCUAAGUACCUGGAGGAAGAGAAAGAAAAAUCGAUUUCCUGAGUAGCGGCGAGCGAAACGGAAAGAGCCCAAACCAAGAAGCUUGCUUCUUGGGGUUGUAGGACACUCUAUACGGAGUUACAAAAGAAAGUUAUAAAUGAAGCGGUCUGGAAAGGCCCGCCAAAGACGGUAACAGCCCGGUAGUUGAAAUGGCUUUCCCUCCAGAGUGGAUCCUGAGUACGGCGGAACACGUGAAAUUCCGUCGGAAUCCGGGAGGACCAUCUCCCAAGGCUAAAUACUCCCUAGUGACCGAUAGUGAACCAGUACCGUGAGGGAAAGGUGAAAAGCACCCCGGAAGGGGAGUGAAACAGUUCCUGAAACCGUGUGCCUACAAGUAGUUAGAGCCCGUUAAUGGGUGAUAGCGUGCCUUUUGUAGAAUGAACCGGCGAGUUACGAUUUGUUGCAAGGUUAAGCGGAAAAAGCGGAGCCGUAGCGAAAGCGAGUCUGAAUAGGGCGCAUAAGUAACAGGUCGUAGACCCGAAACCAGGUGAUCUACCCAUGUCCAGGAUGAAGGUAAGGUAAUACUUACUGGAGGUCCGAACCCACGCACGUUGAAAAGUGCGGGGAUGAGGUGUGGGUAGCGGAGAAAUUCCAAUCGAACUUGGAGAUAGCUGGUUCUCUCCGAAAUAGCUUUAGGGCUAGCCUCGAGGUAAAGAGUCAUGGAGGUAGAGCACUGUUUGGACUAGGGGCCCUUCUCGGGUUACCGAAUUCAGAUAAACUCCGAAUGCCAUGUACUUAUACUCGGGAGUCAGACUGCGAGUGAUAAGAUCCGUAGUCGAAAGGGAAACAGCCCAGACCACCAGUUAAGGUCCCCAAAUAUAUGUUAAGUGGAAAAGGAUGUGGGGUUGCUUAGACAACCAGGAUGUUGGCUUAGAAGCAGCCACCAUUGAAAGAGUGCGUAAUAGCUCACUGGUCGAGUGACCCCGCGCCGAAAAUGUACCGGGGCUAAACAUAUUACCGAAACUGUGGAUGAACCUCUUCGGAGGUUCGUGGUAGGAGAGCGUUCUAAGGGCGGUGAAGUCAGACCGGAAGGACUGGUGGAGCGCUUAGAAGUGAGAAUGCCGGUAUGAGUAGCGAAAGAAGGGUGAGAAUCCCUUCCACCGAAUAUCUAAGGUUUCCUGAGGAAGGCUCGUCCGCUCAGGGUUAGUCGGGACCUAAGCCGAGGCCGAUAGGCGUAGGCGAUGGACAACAGGUAGAGAUUCCUGUACCAGUGCUAAUUGUUUAACCGAUGGGGUGACACAGAAGGAUAGGGAAUCGCACGAAUGGAAAUGUGCGUCCAAGCAGUGAGUGUGA
rnacentral:rRNA from 1 species